rnacentral:misc_RNA from 1 species
AGUCCUUAAGCACCCAGUAUACACCCAACCAAUUCUCAGUUUGAAAUCAGUAAUCACUGAGACAAAACAUAAAGUUCAAUCCAAGCCAUUCAGUUGCAGACAGGUCAGUGAUUGUGAUACAGAUAAGUAAAAAAGAUUUAGCUUUCCUCCUCAUCUAAUUAUUGGUUUUUAAUAAUUUUCUUUAGGAUAUUCUUUUUUUCUUUUUU